rnacentral:tRNA from 1 species
GGGCGCUUAGCUCAGCUGGCUAGAGCAUCUGCUUGACGUGCAGGGGGUCAGCGGUUCAAGUCCGUUAGCGCCCA